AAUGGUAAACUUCCAACAGUUUGUCUCUGUUUGCCUGCGAAUUUUCUUUCUCUAUGUUUUUGUUUACUAAAAUAUUCUCACUCUUUCAUAUAACUCCAUAAGCAUCUUUCAUCUAUUCCUUGCUUCUAUUUCCUGAAAUUGUUCAACUCACUCUUCUAAAAUCAAAACCAGGUAUGGGUAAUAUUUUCUCAAUCUCACUUUCACUCGAUACCAUCAUUACCCGUUGCUGGGAUUGUGCUGCUGGACAGGCAAGUUAUAUAUGCAACCUCGAAGAUAACCUCCAUGCUUUACAAGCUGAAGUGGAAGAAUUGAAGGCGAUCAGGAGUGAUCUGUUGAGAAGGGUUAAAAUUGCUGAAGACGAGCAGCAACUUAAGCGGCUAGGCCAAGUUGAGGGUUGGCUUCAGAGGGCUGAAACUCUGAUAAACGAUGCUGGUCAACUAAUUCUGGAAAGCCGUCAACAAAUUAAUAAGUUAUGUAUAGGAGGUUGUUGCUCCACUCAUCCUAGGUCCAGCAUCAAGUUCGGGAAGCAAAUUGCCAAAAAACUCCAAGAGGCGAAAGACCAGAAGGAGAAAGAAAAAGAUUUCAGUGAUGUGGCCAGCAAGCCACCACUUCCUUCAUCAACUGAAAGACCUAGUGAGCCAACUGUGGGUUUAGAGUUCUAUUUGAACAAGGUCUGGAGCUGUCUUAAAGAGAAACAAGUGGGAAUUAUUGGCAUAUUUGGCUUAGGAGGGGUUGGCAAGACAACCCUCCUAAACCAAAUCAAUAACAAAUUCCAUGAUACUACCCAUGAUUACCUUGUAAUUUGGGCAGUUGCAUCGCAAGAUCGGCCAAUUGAAAAAGUCCAGGAUCAGAUUGCCAAAAGAAUAGGCCUUCCCAAUGAAGGUUGGGAAUCUAAGAGCCGUGAUGAGAAAGCUGGAGAUAUCUUCAACGUAUUAUGUAGAAAGAAGUUUGCAUUUUUGUUGGAUGAUAUAUGGGAAUGGUUUGAUCUCACAGGAGCUGGGGUACCUCUUCCAACACAAGAUAAUGGCUCUAAAGUCAUUUUCACAACUCGUCGUCUUGACGUGUGCUGUCAAAUGCAACCGAACAUGGCUAAUAAUAUCAAAGUGGAAUGUUUACCACCAGGAGAAGCUUUGAAACUGUUCGAGGAGAAGGUUGGGUCAGAAACCCUUCAAAUGCAUCCAGAUAUUCGCAAGUUAGCUGAAGCGGUGGUUGAAGAGUGUGCAGGACUACCUCUCGCUCUCAUUACGAUUGGGCGAGCCAUGGCAUCCAAGAAGACCCCUCCGGAAUGGGAAUAUGCUAUUAAAGUUUUGAGGCAAUCAGCAGCUUCUGUGUUGCCAGGGGUAGGGAAAGAGAUGUAUCCAAAGUUAAAAUUCAGUUAUGACAGUUUAACUAGUGAAAGAGUCAAAUCUUGUUUCUUGUAUUGUUCUUUAUAUCCAGAAGAUCAUCCCAUCCAAAUAGAUGAACUAAUACAUUGUUGGAUCAGGGAAGGAUUUAUGGACAAGCAUACCGAUUUAAGCACUGCCAGAAACCAGGGACAUUUCAUUAUAGGUUCUCUUAUUGAGGCAUGCUUAUUGGAGAAAGUACGUUUUAGUCGUGUAAGGAUGCACGAUGUGGUUCGCGACAUGGCUUUGUGGAUUGUUGGUGAAUUUGAGAAGGAGAAACUUUUAGUAAAAUCAGGUGUUCAGUUAAAGGAACUACCGGAAGCUGAAAAGUGGGAAGAGAUAACAAGAAUGUCGCUUAUGGAUAACAAAAUUGAAAAUCUAACUGAGAUAUUGGAAUGUCCCAAUCUCCAAACUUUGUUUCUUGGCAGGAAUGAUUUGAAGGUAAUCAUGGAUGUUUUCUUUAAUUCUAUGCCGAUGCUAAGGGUUCUAGACUUGUCCGACAAUAUGAAUUUGGAAGAAUUGCCGGUAGGAAUUGCAAAGUUGGUUUCAUUGGAACAUCUCAAUCUGUCAUUCACAAAAAUAACAAAGUUGCCGGUCGAACUGAAGGCCCUGGAAAAGCUGAAAUAUUUGAAUCUAGAGUGGACACGGGAUCUAGAAAUGAUCCCACAACAACUUAUAUCCAGUUUCUCUAAGUUGCAAGUACUGAAAAUGAUGAGAUGUGGCUAUGGAUGUUCAUUGCUUUUGGAGGAACUGGAGCAUUUAAAAUAUUUGAAUGUGUUGACUCUUACUUUUAGAAGCGCUUCAGAGUUGGAAAAAGCUUCGAGGUUCAACAAGUUCUUUAGCUGUGCCAUUGAAUAUGUAAGCCUUCUAGAUUUUAGAGAUUCAAGGUCAUUGAAUAUUUUGGCUUUAGCAAAUCUGCAGAACCUAUAUUCUAUAAAAUGUACGAGUUGUAUGGAUCUGAAGAAGGUGAAGAUCGCAAGCAACAUAGUUGAAGGUGCAAGAUACUUCCAUAGCCUUCGAUAUGUAGGCCUAACCUAUUGCAAACAAAUGAGGGAUGUGAGUUGGGUAAUUUUUGCUCCACAUUUGGAAAAACUACUUAUACGUGAUUGUAACAGUUUAGAAGAAAUUAUUAGUAAGGAAAAACUUGAUGAAGUCACUGAGUCGAAGGCAAAUAAAAACUUAUUUUCUAGGCUCGAGGAGUUGGAUCUACGUCGUCUGCCUAAAAUGAAGACAAUAUGCUACCGUGCUCUGCCUUUCCCACAGCUGAAGAAAAUAUCAAUUGUAAAAUGCCCAAUGCUGAAGAAACUCCCACUAAACUUCAAUAGUGCAAAAGGACAGAGGUUCAUCAUUGAAGGAGAGAAGGAGUGGUGGAAAGAUGUAGAAUGGGAGGAUGAAUCCACUCAAACUGCUUUUCUCCCCUCUUUCAAACCUCAGUAAUCUGUGAAAUGUUGGAUAUUAAUUAAGGCUUAAAGCCAUUAUUGUAUCAUAGCAUACCUCACUGUAAGUUCUAUUUUGCAUAUCUUUAAAUUACAUGUAAUUUAUAAUAAAAUGUUUGAAUUUGAGAGUAUAUCAUGUUGGUUUUCUCUAUUUUUGUUUCUCCCAAAGAGCAGAGCUCAAAUAUUACCUUACUUCAUUAUGAUGGUUCUGCUUUAAACUUAUCUUUUCGAAAGGAGCUGAUGCAUUUAUGGAAGGACUUGAAGUCUUUGUGUCUUGUAGUAUAAUUCGACCAUGUGAAAUUUCACCUGAGUAAGAUAAAACAAAGGAAUUGUCUCAUCUAUAAAUCAAACUCGAAAUGAUAUUCACAUCUACCAGUAGAUAACAUAAUUUCUUUCCCCUUCUCGAGACCACAUGCAUAAGUCAGAAACAUAACCAUCGUAGUUACCUUUGGUAACAGGUUCCUCUGUCAAUCAAGUAGACUGCAUUUCUAAUAUAAAGACUUCAGGCUUCAUUUAUCAAUAAGUUAGAAGGAUUAUCAAAGAAAGGCUAAAAGACAAAGAACGCAUACAAAGAUUUAAUCACUUACAGCAAACUGAUUAGUUAAAUCCUGAUUCUUAUAUUUAUUGGACAUCUCUUCAAUUGGUUCUUUGCCUUUGGACUGCUGUUGUUGUUUCCUUCACUCAGACUCAUACACCUAUUUCAUAAGUGACACAUUCAACAUACAUUUGUAUUAACAGAUGAAAAGCACCAAGUCCCAGCAUUACCUCUCAAUAUCUUCGACCAUGAUCAAGAUAACUGUAACCACCAUAUUUUUUUCUAUGAAAACCAGCUUUAGUCCGUCCAUCUUCAUCACCAACACUUUCAGCAGCUUUACUCAACUCAUCUUCAGCUGAAGUUCUUCUUUCUCAAGUUCUUCCAACCUUGACAUUAUACUGCCAUGCUCUGCCUUUUCCACAGCCGAAGGAAAUAUCAAUUGUAGAAUGCCCAAUGCUGAAGAGGCUCCCACUAAACUCCGAUACUGCAAAAGGACAAACGCUCAUUUUUUUAGAAGAUGAGUAGUAGUGGAAAAAUGUAGAAUGAGAAGAUGAAUCCACUCAAAUUGCUUUUCUCCUUUUUUUCAUACCUCUGUAAACUACAAAUGCUGUCUAUUUUGUUGUCAAAUAACGAUAGUUAUUCAAAUAACAAGUAGGAUUUUAUUGUCAUAUAUGUAUCAUUAAACAUAUGGUCUUAGAUUUUGUGGCCUUCGUCUUCCAAUGCUGUCUCUUGUGUUUCCUUUUCUGAUCAUUGUUUAAGUGGCAAUAAUGGCGCUUGUAUGAAUGCUACUGAUUCAGUCCUAUCAGUAAGUGAGAAAAGCUUUUUUUGGAACUCUAGCUCCCAUUUGGAUAACAAAAAUGUCCAAGGCUGUAGGUGCUUUAGUUCUUUACUUCUCUUUACAUUCCUAGAACAGGGAUUUCAUUUGCUGAUGAAUUGCUAGGAAGGUGGCAGAGUAAUGUUAGAUGUUACUACCUAACAUCUUACACAUGCUGCUCUUAGUAUUCCUUUUUCUUUUUUUGAUGGGAUCUUAGUCCUCCUCAAUAAUGCAAGUUGCCAAUGAGGGGAGUGGUUUCCACACAAAAGACAAGAAUUUCCUGUCAUCUGUCAUAACACCUCAGCAUGCCAAAUUGGAAUUCAGACUUUAGAAUAAAAUUGAGGUUCUAAAAUUGCAGAUUCACUGGUUGAUUGCAAGUUGCAAAUGAGGGGAAUGGUUUCCACACAAAAGACAAAUCCUUUUAUCUGUCAUAAAUAUCAGCACCCAUAAUGCCCUGCCCAAAGCUACCAAAGAAAGUGGAACCCUUGAAAGAGAAAGAGAGAUGUAGGUCCAACAUGUGAAUUCCUGAUCAUUCUAUUAAAAUAUUCAUUCUAUUAAUAAAAUCAUAAAAACUUCAAACUUUAUAAUAUUAUUACUUUUAGUUAUCAAAAUAUAUAACUUUUUUUGAAAUACAGGUACCACAUUAAAAAAAUUUAUCAAACUUAAAUAUUAAAUGAUAUAUUAAGCAUUUCAAUAAACAAACUUUGUAAACAUUUAUGUAAAAUUUUAAACAUCUUUGAUUAUUUUAUAUUUUAAUUAUUAUUUGGUACCAAAAUACAUGUGAACUUCCAACAGUUUGUCUUUGUUUACCUGCGAAUUUUCUUUCUCUCAGUUUUUCUUUACCAAAAUAUUCUCAAUCUUUCAUAUAACUCCAUAAGCAUCUUUGAUUUAUUCCUUGCUUCUAUUUCCAGAAAUUUUUCGGCUCACUUUUCUAAAAUCAAAACUUGGUAUGGGUAAUAUGUGAAAAAUAGAACAUAGAAAAGUGUGAAUAGUCGACACCACACGGGCGUGAACUACCUGUGUGGUAGCCCAUGUGACUAAACAUGGGCAUACAAUCGACGAGGCUGACCAUGUUUGAAUUCAUAGGCUGGGCCGUAUUGGGCUGAAUUGGGCCUUGUGAGCCCCAUGGGCAUAUGGGCCCCACACGGGUGAACCUCACGGACAUGUGAAAAUUAUUGGGCAAGGCUAUGUAAUCCACACGGCCAAGGCCAUUUUGGGCCGUGUGGGCCCAUAAUAUGGGUUGUAGGCCCAUUUUUACUGUUUGACUGUUAAGGUUGCACGGGUCGCCUGAGACGACUGUAGACCUACUGUUGGGUCGGUAAGCUUACUUAGACCCCUAAUUGACUGAAUGACUGUUAUGCCCCUGUGUGAUGUAUACAUAUGUAUGUUCAUGUAUGACUAUAUUUUAGCAUGCUAUUUUUAACUGUAUUGAGUACAUGUAUAAUAUUAUGAUAUGACAUGACAUGUUGCAUGAUGCAUUGCAUGGGGAUGAGUUUUUAUAUGAUUGGAGGAAGUGUACUAUACUGGCAGCUCUGCUGCAAAUCACUAAUGGCUCUAGGCCUAAUAUACUGGCAACUCUGCUGCAAAUACUGUUUAGUGCCGCAACUGGUACAUCUUGGAGUGUAGGGAUGGGUGGGUUGAUUAUAUUCCCAUAUGAAGUGUAUGGUUGGACGGAGAUGGAGUGUAGAGGCUAGUCGAGUAGGAUUUCCUGAUUGCAUAUCCGUACCGUUACUGUUACUGAGAUAGGCUUAGGCCCAACCUAUUAUUGAUAUUGUAAUGGGCUAGGGCCCUAACUGAAACUGAACCGUUAUUGAAAUGGGCUUAGGCCCAGAUUGUAUAUGCUUUCUGUCUGGUUGUGUUAUAUGGGAUUACACACUGAGUUUUAGUAAACUCACCCUCCUGUUUUAAUUGUAUAAGUAAUCCCCAGACAUGGGCGGAUCGGUGCAAUGGAGGACUCAGCGGUGGCCACACGACCUGUCUAAUUUUAAAACAGUAUUUUAUGAUUUCGAUUUAAUUUUUGGGUAUUUUACUGUAAUAAUGGCCUCUUUGAAUUUCUAUUUUUAAUUUAGGAUUUUUAUUUUUUUUGGUUUAUAACUGCUAGCAGUAGGAAAAGACACGGGUUUUCAAAAAGAUAAAUAUUUUAUCAAAGAUACCACGAAUAUGUAACCUGUUUUAAGAGCUUUCGCAAUAAAUGACGUUUUAAAAAUUAAUAACGUUCUAAUGUGAAUAACUUUUUGACAAUGACUCACAUUUUGAAAAUGAACGACACAUCUUAGAAUCAUCAUUGAGAUCACACAAAGAGGUUAAAUAGAAAAAGAAUUUUCAUCGAUAUCACACUUUACGAAAAACACUUCAAUGUGAUAUCGCCAGAUUCGGCCAUAACGUCUAGGCCAGGUUUGGGGUGUUAUAACAAUACCUGUGAUGAAGUUGUAUUUGGUAGAUUUUUUUUCAACUUUUGAACCCGUGAAAGCCAGCAUAGGUAAUCAGUAAAUCAUGAGAAAAGUUAACACUGUAAUUUUUGGUACUAAAAUCACUAGAAAAAAUCAAAUACUAAAUGAUAUAUUAAGUCUUUAAAUAAAUAUUAGCUUUAAAAUUUUAGAAACAAAAUUUUUUAAUUAAAUAAAAUAUAAAACCACUUACAUUUAAUACAAUAUAUAAUUAUUUUUAUUAUUUUAAAUACUUGUUUAUAUAGUUUUUUUUUUAAUUUAAAACAGUUUUGGAAAAAAACUAUUUUUUCUGAAAAAAUAUUUAUAAAUAUAAAUCAUUUUAAAAUAUUUAAAAAUAUAGUAUUUUAAUUAUAAUUGUUAAUAAUUUUAAAUCUUCCUACAUUUUUUAAUCAACAAAUUGUGAUAUAUUUUUAGCAUAUUUUUUAAUCAACAAAUUAUGCCCAUUUAUCUUAAAUUUUAAAGAAGUAAUUUAACUAUGUUCUAAAUAGAUAACGUGUUAAGUAAAAUAUGAAUAUUGAAAUUAGGAUAUGCAAUUAGUUAUGGUUUAAUCAUAUUAUAUCAUAUUGUAACAUGAAGCUUAUGAGUGAAAAUCCUCAUAUCUUUUUUAUUUUGUCUAUAGUGCUCAACUUACCUCCUCUGCAUUUUGAAUCUAGACACCUGCUUUGAAGGUUGAGAACCAGAUGACUGCAGAGGGCAUUAAUUUUGCAAUAAGUUGGUGGCUAUACUACUUAAUAACUACAUACUCACAAAGAUGUGUAAGCACAAUUUUUUAUGUGUUCCAUGUCUUUAAUUGGAUUAUGAUAACCCCUGAAACAAUUUCUGAAUUCUUCCAUUGGCAUAUAUGGUCAUGAAUUCAGUUACCUUGAUCUUCCACUGUUUUCUGUUUUUUGCUGAUGUUUUUUUAAGUGGCAAUGAUAGUGCUUGUGAAUAUCUCAUACAUGAAUGCUGUGGGAAGCUAAUGCAGGGCAAAGCAAGUUGUGAGUUUCUACCCAACAUGCUCAUCUUAGUCUUUCUUUUCUGAUGGGAUCUUAAUAAUUGAGGUUCCUUUAUCUUUGUUGAAGUGGAAGCCUUUAAAGAAAGAGGUAGCUCCCAACUUGCCUGAUUUUUAUAUUAAACAAACUUUACACCUACUAUGAUUAAUUAAAAUAUGUUGUAUUAAUGUUGCUCAAGUUGUAAAAUAGAAUAAGAAAUUGCAUAUGGUAUCCACUGCACACAAAAUAUGCCUUACAAUGGACCGAUUGUGUUAAAACCAAAUAAAGUGGGAUAAAAGGGAGCUGUGUGCAAUGCAAGUCUUUCCACCAAGUCAAUGAUUUUACACAAUUUACUGUAAUUAUCAUCAUAUUCACUAUCUCUUUUUUUUUUGGGUAUCAAAAUGCAUGUGAACUUCCAACAGUUUGUCUUUAUUUUUCUCCCCUUUGUAGUCUCAAACUUUCAUAGAACUCCAUAAGCAUCUUUGAUUUAUUCCUUGCUUCUAUUUCCAGAUUGUUGAACUCACUCUUCUACAAUCAAAACCAGGUAUGGGUAAUAUCUUCUCAAUCUCACUUUCACUCGAUCCCAUCAUUACCCGUUUCUCGGAUUGUGCGACUGGACGGGCAAGUUAUAUAUGCAACCUCGAAGAUAACCUCCAUGCUUUACAAGCUGAAGUAGCAGGACCGAAGGAGCUCAGGAGUGAUCUGAUGAGCAGGGUCAGAAUUGCUGAAGAUGAGCAGCAGCUUAAGCGGCUAAACCAAGUUGAGGGUUGGCUUUCGAGGGCUG
rnacentral:lncRNA from 1 species